UAAAGAAUAGUGAUACGAACAUUACUUUGCC
rnacentral:piRNA from 1 species